UGUCUUUCCUGCACUUGCGGCAAAAGUUGCAACAUUCAAGGCAGAGGAUCAGUACGCUGUCAUAAUGCUUUAUGAAAUACAGCUCACCCCAAGCCUCGAUUAUGACUGUACUAAGAGUUCAGUCAUUGGACAUUCUACUUUAGCAUCAUCAGACCAAAGUGCACCAGCUGGUCUCGCAACACACGCCCUGGUGUUCAUGCUUGGAGGAGUUACGUCCAGGUGGAAACAGACAGUAGCAUACCACUUUUCACCUGACUCCUCUGAUAAAAAGCAGGUAUUCAACAUACUUUUUGACAUCAUCAGGAAAUGUGAAGCAAUUGGUCUGUCUGUAGACUGUGUAACUUCUGACGUGGGGAGUGGAAACCGGGUCAUUUAGAGACUGUGCAGUAUAAUGGCCACCAAGUACGGCGCCCUCGGACCACAUGUGUUCAGCUAUGAUGAAGGACGCAACCUGCAACUUCCUUGCGGAUGCACCCCACCUUCUAAAAACUUGGGUGGUCAUCUAGUGAUGCAGCAGAAGAUAGUUCUGGAUGAUGAGACUGUGGUUAAGAACAAGUUGCCAACGAAUGAGGUUAAGUACUAUGUUGCUAUGUAAGCAGUCAGGGCAUAGCAUCUUGUGGUCACGUAGUCGCCAAGAGAAACUAAUUCCUUUGACUGCCUUAUUUUAAUGAACAUUCGUUAUAACACUUCAAGACAAAUGCAAAUAAACAGCCUCCUAUGUG